UCAUUGUCAUGGUGGCCUGAACAACUAGCAUAUAGCAUUUCAGAGUAAGGUCCCAAAGGCUCCAGGAGGGGUAAGGAGGAGGCACAGUAGGAUGGCAACUAGAGGCGUUUCUAGUCACCCAAGCUUCGUUCAGGAGUCCUGUGUCACAACCAGGGUGGUCAGAUUUAGCAAAUAAAAGUAUGACAGGGGACAUACUUCAUAUGAAAAAUUAUCUGCUGUUCAUUUAAAAUUCAGAUGUAAGUGGUCAUCCUGUGUUUUAUCUGGCAACCCUUAUCAUAACCCACGUCAAAAAUUUAGCUAAAACGUGAAACAUUACUAGUAUACACUAGCGUUUCCCCAAGUGUGCAUUACUAGACAUUUGUAGAUUUCUACAUGUCAUUUUAUUUUAAAAGAAGAUUCUGUGAUUAGAUUUAAACGAGGUUAAUGAUUUCUUACUGUUGGAUUGUUCAGAUCAUUUUUAAAAAUUUAUUUAUUCAUGAGAGACACAGAGAGAGGCAGAGGCAUAGGCAGAGGGAAAAGUAGGCUCCCUGCAGGGAGCCCAAAGUGGGACUUGAUCCUGGGACCCUGGGAUCAUGACCUGAGCCAAAGGCAGAUGGUCAGCCACUGAGCCAACCACCCAGGUGUCCCUGUUCAGAUCAUUGAAUAAGAUCCUUGUGAGUUUCCAAGAAAAGUAGAAUGUUCUAAGUGCAUUUGCCAGCUGAACACUUUCUCCAUCAGUUCUCCCUUUGCAAAAUGCUAAUCCUUGCAUAGCUGGCCUCUGGGGGCAGCAGGGUAGGACUGUGCUAUUUCCUCUGCUGUGGGGCACCCAGUCAAGACUGUCCUCUGCCCCCACCGGGUCUUCCUGCUGAAAAUGGCCAGUAUCCCCUGAAGAAUGGAAGCAAGGACACUUUGGCCGGGUCAUCGUGGAGCUGCAAAGUCAUCAUCUUUUAGGCUUAGUCUCUGUUCAGGCUGCUUUGGAAGAGGUCAUCUUGCAUCUAUGUCAGGCUCGGAGGAGACAAAUUCACCUUCUUUCCUUUAGGUUGAAAUGAAUCACAAUGUAGGCUGUGAAACUUAUGUCUUUUUAAGCUGAUACAGAAUGAAGGUGCUUCGUUUCAGGAAUCAUUUUGCAUGCCCAGAAUUCUUUACGCAGCCCUGUUGACUGUAAUAAGCUUGAACUUGAAUGCUGUAUUCAAAAUGGGAAUUCUGUUUGAAAUCAGUCUUCUCACAGAAAAGCCCCAAAUAAACAGGAACAUUGGACACAUCUAAAAAUUGACACCAAAGACAAGGAAACAUGCUGAUAGGAGGGCCAUCGUGAAGAAGAUUCACACACCAUCAUUUUCUCCAGUGAGCACGAAUUGGAAUUUACCUUUGGAUUUCUGGUUCCAUUUCUACAGUGGAUUAUCAUGCAUGCUUGAGCCAGUUGAACAUCUUCAAUAAUUUGUAACAUGAUCGUGGGACAUGUGUCAGAAAAAUAUCAGUCAUUAUGGAAAACCAUUCCACCCAUCUACAGUUCACUCUCAAGACAGAAAAUACAAGGAGAAUAAUUGAAAAUUCAGUGGAACUGGACCAACUGUACAGUUUACAGACAUCCUUGGUUUUCAAAUGGCUUUUACCUUUUCUCUAAACUUGUACUCAGAAUUUUUUAAAUAGUUUUGUUAAAUAUCUCUUGAGCUAAGCCCUAAUUAUUUGGUGACAUCUUACACUCAUUCUUUCUCAUGACCAUUUGGAUACACUACUCAAGAGAAUGAACCAUACUACCAUGUUGGUGGCUGCCAUCUGUGGCUCUUUUAUGUGAAGAGGUGGAAGCUUUUGACAUUGAGGCUGAGUUGAUGUAGAAAGCAUCUAGUUUUAUGUAGUUCCAAAUGCUUCGAAAUGGCAAUCAGGUGGGACAAAUUCUUAUGGCCAAUUUUUAAAAAAAUACACUUUCUUACAUCUGGAA